rnacentral:rRNA from 1 species
UGAGGAAUAUUGGUCAAUGGCCGAGAGGCUGAACCAGCCAAGUCGCGUGAAGGAAGAAGGAUCUAUGGUUUGUAAACUUCUUUUAUAGGGGAAUAAAGUGGAGGACGUGUCCUUUUUUGUAUGUACCCUAUGAAUAAGCAUCGGCUAACUCCGUGCCAGCAGCCGCGGUAAUACGGAGGAUGCGAGCGUUAUCCGGAUUUAUUGGGUUUAAAGGGUGCGUAGGUGGUGAUUUAAGUCAGCGGUGAAAGUUUGUGGCUCAACCAUAAAAUUGCCGUUGAAACUGGGUUACUUGAGUGUGUUUGAGGUAGGCGGAAUGCGUGGUGUAGCGGUGAAAUGCAUAGAUAUCACGCAGAACUCCGAUUGCGAAGGCAGCUUACUAAACCAUAACUGACACUGAAGCACGAAAGCGUGGGGAUCAAACAGGA